GACUGUAAGCACCGUUCAUAUCUUCGUAACCUAUCACCAUCCAUAAAUCUCUUCUUUACUCCGAGUUUUCCGUGAUUAAUCUACUCCACCCACUUGAAGCAUUCAAUCUACCUCUUCGUUUCCCACUGGCAGAAGCCUCAACUAUAAAUAUCAGACCUUUCUACGAUGUUCAGUUCGGAUCAAACGAAAUCCAGAAUCACAGUUUUUGCUAGCAACCGAUUUCAAUGGCGUCUUUGUACACUCUCCUUACCAAUCUGAAACUUAUGAGUGUUGACAUGUUAAUCAUCGAUGAGAAACCACAAAUAUCACUGCAGAGGAUGUGGAUGAAAAGAUCGUGUAUGAUACUUUCAGCACAUUUGGUGGCACUGCUUCUAAUCCUAUGAUAAUUUGAAGUUUACAGACCGGGUCUUGGCUCCAAGUUGUCACCGGGUCUCUGAAGCCGUUACCCUUGCCCAGUAGAUCUCCCAAAGCUACAUUCACCACUUAGGCUCGGAGUUAGUAAACGGUUGACUCUCUUGGAAGCAAGACUCUGUUGAAACUUAUAUGGAAUCACCAAAAUGCCAUCUUGUGUUGCUCUUUAAAGCCUCAACCAGUGUUUAUGUUCGCGAACCAAGCUGGUUUAGACAUGCUAGAGACAACGCUUGUAGCCUUACAAGACAUUGCACUGGAAAAGAUCUUUGAUGAAUCUGGUCGAAAUUAAGGCUCUCUGCUCAGACUUCGCCAAGCUAAUGCAACAGGGAUUUGCGUGCUUGCCUUCAGGAAUCUUUUUGUCUACAAUGGGGGACAUGUCACUUAUGAACAAGCUGUUACUUGGAAAGUGUCCGAUAACGACAAUAAUAAUAAUUUGCAUUGUCUUGCUUUCUCCUUUGUAAACUGGUUGUUUGUGUUGUCUCAUCUCUGAUAAGUGUAUUAGUAAAGGCUAAUCAAAUUUACAUUAUAG